UAAGGAAUAUUGGUCAAUGGACGCAAGUCUGAACCAGCCAUGCCGCGUGAAGGAUUAAGGUCCUCUGGAUUGUAAAACUUCUUUUAUCUGGGACGAAAAAAGGCGAUUCUUCGUCACUUGACGGUACCAGAUGAAUAAGCACCGGCUAACUCCGUGCCAGCAGCCGCGGUAAUACGGAGGGUGCAAGCGUUAUCCGGAUUCACUGGGUUUAAAGGGUGCGUAGGCGGGCAGGUAAGUCAGUGGUGAAAUCCUGGAGCUUAACUCCAGAACUGCCAUUGAUACUAUCUGUCUUGAAUAUUGUGGAGGUAAGCGGAAUAUGUCAUGUAGCGGUGAAAUGCUUAGAUAUGACAUAGAACACCUAUUGCGAAGGCAGCUUACUACGCAUAUAUUGACGCUGAGGCACGAAAGCGUGGGGAUCAAACAGGAUUAGAUACCCUGGUAGUCCACGCCCUAAACGAUGGAUACUCGACAUACGCGAUACACUGUGUGUGUCUGAGCGAAAGCAUUAAGUAUCCCCACCUGGGGAAGUACGACCGCAAGGUUUGAAACUCAAAGGAAUUGACGGGGUCAUAGCUGUUUCCUG
rnacentral:rRNA from 1 species